rnacentral:rRNA from 1 species
GUGUCAGCCGCCGCGGUAAUACGGAGGAUCCAAGCGUUAUCCGGAUUUAUUGGGUUUAAAGGGUGCGUAGGCGGAAUAGUAAGUCAGUGGUGAAAGCCUGCAGCUUAACUGUAGAAUUGCCAUUGAUACUGCUAAUCUUGAGUACAUAUGAAGUGGGCGGAAUGUGUCAUGUAGCGGUGAAAUGCUUAGAUAUGACACAGAACACCGAUUGCGAAGGCAGCUCACUAAACUGUAACUGACGCUGAGGCACGAAAGCAUGGGGAGCAAACAGGAUUAGAAACCCUAGUAGUCC